rnacentral:rRNA from 1 species
GACGAACGCUGGCGGCGUGCCUAAUACAUGCAAGCCGAGCGGACUUAAAAAGCUUGCUUUUUAAGUUAGCGGCGGACGGGUGAGUAACACGUGGGCAACCUGCCUGUAAGACUGGGAUAACUUCGGGAAACCGGAGCUAAUACCGGAUAAUCCUUUUCUACUCAUGUAGAAAAGCUGAAAGACGGUUUACGCUGUCACUUACAGAUGGGCCCGCGGCGCAUUAGCUAGUUGGUGAGGUAACGGCUCACCAAGGCGACGAUGCGUAGCCGACCUGAGAGGGUGAUCGGCCACACUGGGACUGAGACACGGCCCAGACUCCUACGGGAGGCAGCAGUAGGGAAUCUUCCGCAAUGGACGAAAGUCUGACGGAGCAACGCCGCGUGAGUGAUGAAGGUUUUCGGAUCGUAAAACUCUGUUGUUAGGGAAGAACAAGUACGAGAGUAACUGCUCGUACCUUGACGGUACCUAACCAGAAAGCCACGGCUAACUACGUG